GAUGAACGCUAGCGGGAGGCCUAAUACAUGCAAGUCGAGCGGUAACUUUCUUCGGGAAGCUAGAGCGGCGCACGGGUGAGUAACGCGUACAUGACCUGCCUUUAAGACCGGGAUAGCCCCUGGGAAAACUGGGAUUAAUACCGGAUGUGAUAAUAGAUAUAAAGAUUUAUUAUUAAAGUUACGGCGCUUAGAGAUGGAUGUGCGUCUGAUUAGCUAGUUGGUAGGGUAACGGCCUACCAAGGCUACGAUCAGUAGGGGGCUGAGAGCGUGGCCCCCCACACGGGUACUGAGACACGGACCCGACUCCUACGGGUGGCAG
rnacentral:rRNA from 1 species